GAGUUUGAUCUUGGCUCAGAUUGAACGCUGGCGGCAUGCCUUACACAUGCAAGUCGAACGGCAGCACGGGAGCUUGCUCCUGGUGGCGAGUGGCGAACGGGUGAGUAAUGCAUCGGAACGUAUCCUGGAGUGGGGGAUAACGUAGCGAAAGUUACGCUAAUACCGCAUAUUCUGUGAGCAGGAAAGCGGGGGACCUUCGGGCCUCGCGCUCUUGGAGCGGCCGAUGUCGGAUUAGCUAGUUGGUGAGGUAAAGGCGUCACCAAGGCGACGAUCCGUAGCAGGUCUGAGAGGAU
rnacentral:rRNA from 1 species